rnacentral:lncRNA from 1 species
CGACCAUGGACUGACAGCAUGGCUACCUGGGGCUCGUUAGAGAGGAAGAGGAUGCCUGAUGCUAUGCAGAUUUCUUGACAAGCUAACCUGCUCAGUGCCAAGGAAGAGGAGAGGCAGAAGAACCCUGUGCAACUUAAUGGGGUUUCAGUUAGGGAAGUCACCUACAGGAUUCAGAGAUUUUCCAGCUUGCCUAAGAGAUCUGAAAAUGCAGCGUGUCCAAAUCCCUUGGCUGCCAGGCAAAAUCAGAGCCAAACCCAUUAGCAUUUAGUGGAAAUGCUCUGUGUGUCCUUCCGUCAGCAUUGCUGGUGGUGGAGACUGCCGGAACCACAGGAAGUCAGUGACAGUUGCUGGAAUCAGCUCCGAAACUCCCGUGUUGGUACCAGACAGGAUGUUCCACUGAGGCAGACUUGGACC